rnacentral:lncRNA from 1 species
CUUCUGCAACUUGUGCCCCUCCUCUGUCCCCAGAACUACAGACCUGUCACUCGAGCAGCUUUUAGGGUCCCCAGUGCCUGGUCCAUCAGCCCCCCUCUUCAUGUCACCUGCUUGGCCCUGUGGACACUGAAGGUCAAGGACACCCACACAAGGUCACACCAGCAGCAUGCUGGCGUGUCUUGGCUCAGAAACCCUGGGAACCUAUGAAGACUCUUUUUUUUUUCUUCAUUUCAUGUUUUUUUCUGUGAGAAAUAGGAAGGUGAUGGACUGGACUACAGAUUGAAACCUAAAAGAUACAAGGACCAGAAAUUUUUUUCAUAUUGGAUUAA